rnacentral:tRNA from 1 species
GCCGCCUUAGCUCAGUUGGUAGAGCGGUUGCCUUGUAAGCUCCAGGUCGUCGGUUCGAUUCCGACAGGCGGCUCCA